GAGGUAAUUUACUGAAAUGCACAGCGAUUACCUGCUCACCCAGCCCUGAUGUAAUUAAAAAUGGCAGGCUAGGGGCUCUGUUUCCCCCGGCUCUGGCAGAGAAACCUGGGUUUCGACUUGUGAAGCUUGAGGUUGGAUGUGGGAAUUGGCUUGGAGUCAUAGGCGAUGAGAGGGACAUUAGGAUAUUAUGAAGCCCGUGAACUCAACUCCUGAGAAGGACGCAGCAGAGCGAGAGAAAAGAUGGAAUAAAAAGGCCUACCUCAUUGGGCUCGUGUGGGUGAGGAGAACUGAAGAGUCUGAGAGCGCGGCACGAGCCAGAGGCUACGGAAAACACUGCCCUCCUACACUCCACCUUGGAGAGACCCAGAAAAGAACAAGCUUCAUUUGUAAAAAAGGAAAACAACUCAGGCAAUGGGGGUGGCUUAAAGAACUUGGAAUAACUUGCAGUGUCUUGCAGUAUUGUGAAACCAGCAACUUGUUCACAAUUCUUCUGAAUUUCUUGGGAAAUUUGAAGUGGAGUACCUGUACCAACAUGAAAUGACACGAAUUUAAGUGACGCUCAACAACGAAAAGCAAAAAGAACCAAAGAGGAAGCAACUGAAACAACAUCUGGAUGUAUUUAAAAAUAUACAAUGCCUCCAAAAUCAGGUGUCAUUAAUGAAAAUUCUGAAGAAAUGCCACCGGACAUAGCCAACGCACCUACGCUGUUGUUAUUCAUUUCCUGCUUUUCACAGAAAACAAUUUUGUUGCAUGGAAGAUCGUGAACUUCAAAGGGCAGAGGGGAAACUGUCCCUUGGCCUCUACCCCUCCAAGGCCCCACUUUUUUGUCAACACUCCUUGGACGCAGCAGAAGUAUGAACAUAAUAUGGUCCUGAAUGAGGCUGAGUCUUUGGGCGCAGAAGACCCGGGUUAAUAAAAAUAGGAAGGUAAGAAAAGAAAAGAAAAAUCAAGACACAUCAUAGGACUAAAUUCCUAUUAUUUAUCCACUCAGGAUUGACCACCCCUUUGGGCCAGAUAGUUGUACCCCCAUGUACCAGGUGGGCACAUGAAGACACAAGAAGUGCUGUGAUGGUUCAUUUUGCACGUCACCUUGCGUGGAGUAUGCCAACUCAUUGUUUGGUCAAACACUAGUCUGGACAUGGUGGUAAAGGUAUUUUUUAGAUGAGAUUAACACUUAAAUCAGUAAAGCAGGUUACCCACCAUACUACGGGUGGGCCCUGUCCAAUCAGUUGAAGGCAUUAAGAACAAAGAUUGAGGUUUCCUAAAGAAGAUGGAAUUCUCCUUGAGACUACAACAUAGAAACCCUAUCUGAGUUUCCAGCCUGUUGCCCUGUGGAAUUCAAACUCAGGACUCCGGUCUAUGACAUUAACCCUCACUUAACUUUUCAGCCUGCCAGCCUGCCCUAUGGAUUUCGGACUUGCCAGCCACACAAUUCCUUAAAAUAAAUCUCUCCGUCUCUGUCUGUUUC
rnacentral:lncRNA from 1 species